ACCAUAGGGCAGUUUUAAGUUUUUUAUAACACUAUAAGACACUUCUUGCUACUAGAGCAGUUUUUUCUAACCAAAACCCACUUUCUACCUAUAUACUAAUUGAAUAAGCUAACUAACUAUAAAGUUAACCAAUUAAGCAUCUAAAAGGCACAAAAAUAAGAGCAAAUUGUUGUCGAAGACACGUACAUUGAUGAAUUUGAGUUUUGGAUUCAAGAACUGUGAAACCCUAGAUGAUGAAAGCUAAAGAAAAAUUGAUUCUUUUGGUGUUUGUAGUUGACAGGUUAAAAACGAGUUACAGUCCAAAAGCUCCAAUUCUCCUCCUCUUCUAUGUCCUCAGCUCCUCCGUUCAAGACGCCAAUGAGCUAAAAAUUCCCAAUUUCUGCAAAAUUCGUAACCCUAAGGAACUUGGGAAGAAGAUGACAUAAUUACGAUUAUGCCAUUAAUGAAUUAAUUAUUUUUAAAAAUCGCGUACACGUAGAGAUGUGUACAUAUGUACAUUCUAAGUGUACAUGUUUAUUAAUUAAGUGUACAUGUUGAUGUUUGUGAAAACCAUUAAAAUCACCAAUAUAUUAUGUACACCACUUUCAUCUUUUGUGUUUCCUGAUAUUUUUUGUUUUGAUUUUACACAUCUGAAAUAUAAUGUGUAUAAUCAUGUUGCAUUUGUACAUUCCAAUUCCAAACCAUAUAUACAAAAUUGCAUUUUUUUU